UACGGAGGAUGCAAGCGUUAUCCGGAAUGAUUGGGCGUAAAGCGUCCGCAGGUGGCUGUGUAAGUCUGCUGUCAAAGAGUGAGGCUCAGCCUCAUAAGAGCAGUGGAAACUACAUGGCUAGAGUGCGUUCGGGGCAGAGGGAAUUCCUGGUGUAGCGGUGAAAUGCGUAGAGAUCAGGAAGAACACCGGUGGCGAAAGCGCUCUGCUAGGCCGCAACUGACACUGAGGGACGAAAGCUAGGGGAGCGAAUGGG
rnacentral:rRNA from 1 species